UGAGAGUUUAAAUUGGAUUUGAACUCUGCAGUGGUUAUUAGGUUAGUUGUGGGGUGAGCUGGUGUCGUUCUUCAAGUGAUAUGAGUGUGGGUGGUUACUGUUUCUUUUUCUCAAAAUUUCAGCAAGUCUAUCUGAUGUUUUUUUUUUCUUUUUUUCUUUUUGAUUCUAUUCUUUAAUUUUUCUCCCUUGUUCUCUUACUCAUCGUUUUGCUCAUCUCUGGUAAAAAUAUUACCAUAUUCUUUUUACGACUUGAUUGCUUUGAUUAUUUGUUGUUCGUUUUUGGGCAUUGGCGAGUAAUCUUCAUUUUUUGUUAGGUAUUUUUGUUUUGUUUAGGGAUUUCAGUAAAUUGGGGGUUUAAUUUUCUUUAGUUUGGAAGGAUCGUUUAAUUGUGUUACUUUUUUUAGUGCUCGAUUAGGGGAGAAUCGUGAGUCGGGUGGUGUUCCUUUAGCGGGUUAGACAUUGCACGGUUGCUGGUCGUUGUUGUUUCAGAAGUCUCGUGGAGGUUUAGCGGCGAAAAUGAACCAGGUGUGUAACAAAAACACGAGAAAACGGGGUUCAACGAAAGCUAAAAAAAUUUUAAAAUUUUUCCUAGGGUUGCACAUGUCGUUUCGAUCGACUGUGGGCCUUUCGUAGGAUUGGUAAUCCUCAUACAUAGGUGGGUCGAUGUGACAGAUACUCUACGGUGACCACAAGUUCGUGAACUAUCUUAAAUAAUGGUUUUUAUUUAUAUUAUGGAUUAUUUCUGAGACUUUUGUAAUUAUUGGACUCUCUGGACUGUUUGACUUUUAUUUUGGUUUUGGAUGUGUUUUUAACUCUUAUACUGCGAUGGUUGACUAAAAUUACGGUU